GUAGCCAUAGCUCAGCUGGAUAGAGCAUCAGAUUGCGGAUCUGGAGGUCGGAGGUUCGAAUCCUCUUGGCUACA
rfam:Spirochaetes bacterium GWC2_52_13 gwc2_scaffold_219, whole genome shotgun sequence.